rnacentral:rRNA from 1 species
GACGAACGCUGGCGGCGUGCCUAAUACAUGCAAGUUGAGCGAUGAAGAUUGGUGCUUGCACCAAUUUGAAGAGCAGCGAACGGGUGAGUAACGCGUGGGGAAUCUGCCUUUGAGCGGGGGACAACAUUUGGAAACGAAUGCUAAUACCGCAUAACAACUUUAAACAUAAGUUUUAAGUUUGAAAGAUGCAAUUGCAUCACUCAAAGAUGAUCCCGCGUUGUAUUAGCUAGUUGGUGAGGUAAAGGCUCACCAAGGCGAUGAUACAUAGCCGACCUGAGAGGGUGAUCGGCCACAUUUGGACUGGAGCACGGCCCAAACUCCUACGGGAGGCAGCAGUAGGGAAUCUUCGGCAAUGGACGAAAGUCUGACCGAGCAACGCCGCGUGAGUGAAGAAGGUUUUCGGAUCGUAAAACUCUGUUGGUAGAGAAGAACGUUGGUGAGAGUGGAAAGCUCAUCAAGUGACGGUAACUACACAGAAAGGGACGGCUAACUACGUG